CCCAAAUCAAAAUCCUCACACUCGACUAUCUCCUUCCCUUCAAAACCCCCCAAAUCAAAAUUAGCCUUCUUCCAAAAACUAUUCCUACUCCCGUUCUCCCGUUCUCUUCCAACGCUACUCGGUGCUCAAGCGACGGCGCCGGCGAUGGCAAUCGGAGGUUGACGGCGCCGAUGGCACACAGUAAUGGUUCAGUUAAAAUUUAAAUUUUAUGCCCUGUAAAUUAAUUGUUCAAUUCGUGAACGGCGCCGACUGUUGAUUGCUUCAUUUUUUGGUUUCUUUUGAAUACAGAAACUUCAGUGGGUGAUGUUCAAUUGGUUUCUUUUGAAUACAGAAACUUUGUGAACGGCGCCGACUGUUCAAUUCGUUAACUCAUCUUCUCUCUCUCCUCUCACAAACCCACCUUCCAAAAGACUCUCACUCUGCAUCCCCAAAGUUUCUGCCAAGCAGGCUGCUGCUACUACCGGAGCUGUAGAGGACUCGCCUGACAAUUUUACAUUGUAGGGUGUGUUUUCUUUCCCCUUUAUUCUCUUUGUUGGCAUGUUGGGAGUUCCAUUUUUAGUGAUGGUUAAUUUGUUGUGGCCCAUUUGGUUGUAUUGGUUCCUUCUAUCAAAGAAAUUAAA
rnacentral:lncRNA from 1 species